ensembl:scaRNA predicted gene, 24644
UGGCUCAGUUUCCUGGAGGGUGGACUCAGCCUACUCCACCCUUACUCAGCUGAGCCUAGAGUAGAGGGGCCAGGUGUCUACCUGUAUGGGAGAGGUUUUGAAGCAAGGAGCCUUGCCUGGACCGUCCUAGCCUCACAAUU